rnacentral:rRNA from 1 species
UACGUAGGGUCCGAGCGUUGUCCGGAAUCAUUGGGCGUAAAGAGCUCGUAGGUGGUUUGUCGCGUCGUCUGUGAAAUUCCGGGGCUUAACUUCGGGCGUGCAGGCGAUACGGGCAAUACUUGAGUGCUGUAGGGGAGACUGGAAUUCCUGGUGUAGCGGUGAAAUGCGCAGAUAUCAGGAGGAACACCAAUGGCGAAGGCAGGUCUCUGGGCAGUUACUGACGCUGAGGAGCGAAAGCAUGGGUAGCGAACAGGAUUAGAUA